UACGGGGGGGGCAAGCGUUGUUCGGAAUUACUGGGCGUAAAGCGUGCGCAGGCGGCGGCUCAAGUCGGGUGUGAAAGCCCCGGGCUCAACCUGGGAAUUGCAUUCGAGACUGAAUAGCUAGGGUACGGUAGAGGGAAGUGGAAUUUCCGGUGUAGCGGUGAAAUGCGUAGAUAUCGGAGGAACAUCAGUGGCGAAAGCGACUUCCUGGACCAGUACCGACGUUCAGGCACGAAAGCGUGGGGAGCAAACAGG
rnacentral:rRNA from 1 species